AGUGAACGCUGGCGGUAGGCCUAACACAUGCAAGUCGAACGGCAGCACAGUAAGAGCUUGCUCUUACGGGUGGCGAGUGGCGGACGGGUGAGGAAUACAUCGGAAUCUACUUUUUCGUGGGGGAUAACGUAGGGAAACUUACGCUAAUACCGCAUACGACCUACGGGUGAAAGCAGGGGAUCUUCGGACCUUGCGCGAUUGAAUGAGCCGAUGUCGUAUUAGCUAGUUGGCGGGGUAAAGGCCCACCAAGGCGACGAUCCGUAGCUGGUCUGAGAGGAUGAUCGGCCACACUGGAACUGGACCACGGUCCAUACUACUACGGGAGGCAGCAGUGGGGAAUAUUGGACAAUGGGCGCAAGCCUGAUCCAGCCAUACCGCGUGGGUGAAGAAGGCCUUCGGGUUGUAAAGCCCUUUUGUUGGGAAAGAAAAGCAGCAGGUUAAUACCACGCUGUUCUGACGGUACCCAAAGAAUAAGCACCGGCUAACUUCGUG
rnacentral:rRNA from 1 species